rnacentral:rRNA from 1 species
UUGGAGGGCAAGUCUGGUGCCAGCAGCCGCGGUAAUUCCAGCUCCAAUAGCGUAUAUUAAAGUUGCUGCAGUUAAAAAGCUCGUAGUUGAAUUUCGGGAUCAAAUUGUUGGUCGUGCCUCGGUACGCACUGGUAUUAUUGGUUCCUACCUUCUGAAGAACCGCGAUGUCAUUAAUUUGGUGUCGUGGGGAAUCAGGACUGUUACUUUGAAAAAAUUAGAGUGUUUAAAGCAGGCUUACGCUUGAAUACAUUAGCAUGGAAUAAUGAAAUAGGACGUUUGAUUCUAUUUUGUUGGUUUCUAGGAUUGACGUAAUGAUUAAUAGGGAUAGUUGGGGGCAUUAGUAUUCAAUUGUCAGAGGUGAAAUUCUUGGAUUUAUUGAAGACUAACUACUGCGAAAGCAUUUGCCAAGGAUGUUUUCAUUAAUCAAGAACGAAAGUUAGGGGAUCGAAGACGAUCAGAUACCGUCGUAGUCUUAACCAUAAACUAUGCCGACUAGGGAUCGGAUGAUGUUAAUUUUUUAAUGACUCAUUCGGCGCCUUACGGGAAACCAAAGUGUUUGGGUUC